AGCAUAUCAAUAAGCGGAGGAAAAGAAACCAACAGGGAUUGCCCCAGUAACGGCGAGUGAAGCGGCAAAAGCUCAAAUUUGAAAUCUGGCCCUUUCAGGGUCCGAGUUGUAAUUUGCAGAGGAUGCUUCGGGUGCGGCCCCGGCCUAAGUUCCUUGGAACAGGACGUCAUAGAGGGUGAGAAUCCCGUCUUUGGUCGUCGGCCCGCGCCCGUGUGAAGCUCCUUCGAAGAGUCGAGUUGUUUGGGAAUGCAGCUCUAAGCGGGUGGUAAAUUUCAUCUAAAGCUAAAUAUUGGCCGGAGACCGAUAGCGCACAAGUAGAGUGAUCGAAAGGUUAAAAGCACCUUGAAAAGGGAGUUAAACAGCACGUGAAAUUGUUGAAAGGGAAGCGCUUGCGGCCAGACUCGGGUGCGGGGUUCAGCGGACGCGUGUCGUCCGUGCACUCCCCGUUUCCCGGGCCAGCAUCAGUUUCGACGGCCGGUCAAAGGCCUCUGGAAUGUGUCGUCUCUCGGGACGUCUUAUAGCCAGAGGUGCAAUGCGGCCUGUUGGGACUGAGGAACGCGCUUCGGCUCGGAUGCUGGCAUAAUGGCCGUAAGCGGCCCGUCUUGAAACACGGACCAAGGAGUCUAACAUCCACGCGAGUGUUCGGGUGUCAAACCCGUGCGCGCAGUGAAAGCGAACGGAGGUGGGAGCCUUAGGGCGCACCAUCGACCGAUCCUGAAGUCUUCGGAUGGAUUUGAGUAGGAGCGUGGCCGUUGGGACCCGAAAGAUGGUGAACUAUGCCUGAAUAGGGUGAAGCCAGAGGAAACUCUGGUGGAGGCUCGCAGCGGUUCUGACGUGCAAAUCGAUCGUCAAAUUUGGGCAUAGGGGCGAAAGACUAAUCGAACCAUCUAGUAGCUGUUCUGCGA
rnacentral:rRNA from 1 species